GACGAACGCUGGCGGCGUGCUUAACACAUGCAAGUCGAACGGAAAGGCCCUGCUUGCAGGGUACUCGAGUGGCGAACGGGUGAGUAACACGUGGGUGAUCUGCCCUGCACUUCGGGAUAAGCCUGGGAAACUGGGUCUAAUACCGGAUAGGAGCCAUUUUUAGUGUGAUGGUUGGAAAGUUUUUUCGGUGUAGGAUGAGCUCGCGGCCUAUCAGCUUGUUGGUGGGGUAAUGGCCUACCAAGGCGGCGACGGGUAGCCGGCCUGAGAGGGUGGACGGCCACAUUGGGACUGAGAUACGGCCCAGACUCCUACGGGAGGCAGCGGUGGGGAAUAGUGCACAAUGGGCGCAAGCCUGAUGCAGCGACGCCGCGUGGGGGAUGACGGCCUUCGGGUUGUAAACUCCUUUCGCUAGGGACGAAGCUUUUUGUGACGGUACCUAGAGAAGAAGCACCGGCUAACUACGUG
rnacentral:rRNA from 1 species